rnacentral:tRNA from 1 species
AUUUAAAUAGUUUAUAAUUAAAAUAUUAAUUUGUGAAAUUAAAGAAAUAAAAAAUUUUAAAUU